rnacentral:rRNA from 1 species
UUCGGUCGGCUGCGACUUCGUUAACCAAAAACACAGCACUUCUGACAAACACGAAAGUGGACGUAGUAGGGUGUGACGCCUGCCCGGUGCCGGAAGGUUAAAAUGAUGGGGUGCAAGCUCUUGAUUGAAGCCCCGGUAAAACGGCGGCCGUAACAAAUAACGGUCCUAAGGUAGCGAAAUUCCUUGUCGGGUAAGUUCCGACCUGCACGAAUGGCGUAACGAUGGCCACACUGUACUCCUCCCCGAGACUCAGCGAAGUUGAAAAUGUUUUGUGAUGAUGCAAUCUACCCGCGGCUAGACGGAAAGACCCCAUGAACCUUUACUGUAGCUUUGCAUUGGACUGUGAACCGAUCUGUGUAGGAUAGGUGGGGAGGCUUUGAAGCCGGGACGCUAGUUCUGGUG